UACGUAGGGUGCGAGCGUUGUCCGGAAUUAUUGGGCGUAAAGAGCUUGUAGGCGGUUUGUCGCGUCUGCUGUGAAAUCUCAAGGCUCAACCUUGAGCUUGCAGUGGGUACGGGCAGACUAGAGUGUGGUAGGGGAGACUGGAAUUCCUGGGUGUAGCGGUGAAAUGCGCAGAUAUCAGGAGGAACACCGAUGGCGAAGGCAGGUCUCUGGGCCGACUACUG
rnacentral:rRNA from 1 species